rnacentral:lncRNA from 1 species
AUAGAGAUCAUGAUAUUGAGACAGUAGAGGGGAUGUCCUACCCAAGCAUCUUGCCAGAACCUCGUCUGCCUGCCAUUUCCAACUUUGAUCCUUGUUGACAACAAAAGUAGGCCAUAGGCUGCAGAUGUGUUUCCAUAGUCCCAAUCGAUGAUAUGAAUUAACAGGGACGGUAAACCAGAGAACCAGAGAUUUUGUCUACCAUAUCUGUCGUGUAUAAGCCUUCUCCAUAAGUUGCCCCUCUUCUUUUCCAUAUCUCCACAACCACUUCGUUAAUAAGCUAUCAUUGUGAAUUUUCAAGUAUUUAAUACCCAGUCUUCUUCUUUUGCCUCGCUUCACCCUUUCCCACUUUACCAAAUAAAAGGAUCUCUUUUCUUUGGUACCUCCCAACAAAAGUUCCUCCAAGUUCUAUC